GAUGAAGAACGUAGCGAAAUGCGAUAAGUAAUGUGAAUUGCAGAAUUCAGUGAAUCAUCGAAUCUUUGAACGCACCUUGCGCCCUUUGGCCAUUCCGAAGGGCAUGCCUGUUUGAGUAUCAUGAACAGCUCAACUCUUUAUGGUUUUCCAUGAUGAGCUUGGACUUUGGGGGUUUUGCUGGCCUAUGGUCGGCUCCUCUAAAAUAAAUCAGCUUACCGGUGUUUGGUGGGUAUCAUGGGUGUGAUAACUAUCUACGCUUGUGGUUUUUCCACCAGGUAACCUUCGACAGCGGAGGUUCACUGGAGCUCAUAGAUGUCUCUCCUCAGCGAGGACAGCCCUUUGAAUGUUUGAUCUCAAAUCAGGUAGGACUACCCGCUGAACUUAAGCAUAUCAAUAAGCGGAGGA
rnacentral:misc_RNA from 1 species